rnacentral:rRNA from 1 species
AACGAACGCUGGCGGCAUGCCUAACACAUGCAAGUCGAACGAGAACUUCGGGUCUAGUGGCGCACGGGUGCGUAACGCGUGGGAACCUGCCCUUAGGUUCGGAAUAACUCCCCGAAAGGGGUGCUAAUACCGGAUAAUGUCUUCGGACCAAAGAUUUAUCGCCUUUGGAUGGGCCCGCGUUGGAUUAGCUAGUUGGUAGGGUAAAAGCCUACCAAGGCGACGAUCCAUAGCUGGUCUGAGAGGAUGAUCAGCCACACUGGGACUGAGACACGGCCCAGACUCCUACGGGAGGCAGCAGUGGGGAAUAUUGGACAGUGGGCGAAAGCCUGAUCCAGCAAUGCCGCGUGAGUGAUGAAGGCCUUAGGGUUGUAAAGCUCUUUUACCCGGGAUGAUAAUGACAGUACCGGGAGAAUAAGCUCCGGCUAACUCCGUG